rnacentral:rRNA from 1 species
AUGAACGCUGGCGACAGGCCUAACACAUGCAAGUCGAGGGGCAGCACAAGGAGCAAUCUGAGGUGGCGACCGGCGCACGGGUGAGUAACACGUAUGCAACCUGCCUGUAAGCGGGGAAUAACCCGUUGAAAGACGGACUAAUACCGCAUAAUACUAAAUUACUGCAUGGUAAUUUAUUUAAACAUUUAUGGCUUACAGAUGGGCAUGCGCAUGAUUAGCUAGUUGGAGAGGUAACGGCUCCCCAAGGCAACGAUCAUUAGGGGUUCUGAGAGGAAGGUCCCCCACACUGGUACUGAGACACGGACCAGACUCCUACGGGAGGCAGCAGUGAGGAAUAUUGGUCAAUGGACGAGAGUCUGAACCAGCCAAGUCGCGUGCAGGAAGAAUGUCCUAUUGGAUUGUAAACUGCUUUUGCAGGGGAAUAAAGUGCAUCACGUGUGAUGUUUUGUAUGUACUCUGCGAAUAAGGAUCGGCUAACUCCGUGCCAGCAGCAGC